UCCUCGGUAGUAUAGUGGUGAGUAUCUGCGUCUGUCACAUGCGAGACCCGGGUUCAAUUCCCGGCCGGGGAG
rnacentral:tRNA from 1 species